ACGAACGCUGGCGGCGUGCCUAAUACAUGCAAGUAGAACGCUGAAGAGAGGAGCUUGCUCUUCUUGGAUGAGUUGCGAACGGGUGAGUAACGCGUAGGUAACCUGCCUUGUAGCGGGGGAUAACUAUUGGAAACGAUAGCUAAUACCGCAUAACAAUGGAUGACACAUGUCAUUUAUUUGAAAGGGGCAAUUGCUCCACUACAAGAUGGACCUGCGUUGUAUUAGCUAGUAGGUGAGGUAACGGCUCACCUAGGCGACGAUACAUAGCCGAUCUGAGAGGGUGAUCGGCCACACUGGGACUGAGACACGGCCCAGACUCCUACGGGAGGCAGCAGUAGGGAAUCUUCGGCAAUGGGGGCAACCCUGACCGAGCAACGCCGCGUGAGUGAAGAAGGUUUUCGGAUCGUAAAGCUCUGUUGUAAGUCAAGAACGAGUGUGAGAGUGGAAAGUUCACACUGUGACGGUAGCUUACCAGAAAGGGACGGCUAACUACGUGCCAGCAGCCGCGGUAAUACGUAGGUCCCGAGCGUUGUCCGGAUUUAUUGGGCGUAAAGCGAGCGCAGGCGGUUUGAUAAGUCUGAAGUUAAAGGCUGUGGCUCAACCAUAGUUCGCUUUGGAAACUGUCAAACUUGAGUGCAGAAGGGGAGAGUGGAAUUCCAUGUGUAGCGGUGAAAUGCGUAGAUAUAUGGAGGAACACCGGUGGCGAAAGCGGCUCUCUGGUCUGUAACUGACGCUGAGGCUCGAAAGCGUGGGGAGCGAACAGGAUUAGAUACCCUGGUAGUCCACGCCGUAAACGAUGUCGACUUGGAGGUUGUGCCCUUGAGGCGUGGCUUCCGGAGCUAACGCGUUAAGUCGACCGCCUGGGGAGUACGGCCGCAAGGUUAAAACUCAAAUGAAUUGACGGGGGCCCGCACAAGCGGUGGAGCAUGUGGUUUAAUUCGAAGCAACGCGAAGAACCUUACCAGGUCUUGACAUCCCGAUGCUAUUUCUAGAGAUAGAAAGUUACUUCGGUACAUCGGUGACAGGUGGUGCAUGGUUGUCGUCAGCUCGUGUCGUGAGAUGUUGGGUUAAGUCCCGCAACGAGCGCAACCCCUAUUGUUAGUUGCCAUCAUUCAGUUGGGCACUCUAGCGAGACUGCCGGUAAUAAACCGGAGGAAGGUGGGGAUGACGUCAAAUCAUCAUGCCCCUUAUGACCUGGGCUACACACGUGCUACAAUGGUUGGUACAACGAGUUGCGAGUCGGUGACGGCAAGCUAAUCUCUUAAAGCCAAUCUCAGUUCGGAUUGUAGGCUGCAACUCGCCUACAUGAAGUCGGAAUCGCUAGUAAUCGCGGAUCAGCACGCCGCGGUGAAUACGUUCCCGGGCCUUGUACACACCGCCCGUCACACCACGAGAGUUUGUAACACCCGAAGUCGGUGAGGUAACCUUUUGGAGCCAGCCGCCUAAGGUGGGAUAGAUGAUUGGGGUG
rnacentral:rRNA from 1 species